UAAAAAAUAAGAACGGAAAUAUAUAAAAUAGGCAGCCCGUCAUGGGCCGGCCCAAACUGGCGCGCUACAUCUUCUCCCAGCCCGCAGCAUGCAGUAUAGAAGGUCGCUACUGCAUGGACGGCCCAGGCAGAGGAUUACUCUGUCUGAAACGUUUCUUUAUCACUUAUAGAUAGCAUUGAUGGGUAAUAUUUUGCAACUUUGAGGUCAAUUUUCUUGACGUACUGCCGGAAGCAAUAGCCCCUUUAUUAUUAGUUAGUUAUAGAUUAUAGAUAGAUUUGGUUUAUCAUAGGAAGUUCCUCUGUUUAUGUGUACUGCUCUCAAUAAAACAUAGGCUAGAAAAGUUCCCUUUGGUAUGGAUUCUCAUGUUAUUAAAACAUUUGUGGUGCAGCCUGUUAGAAAACUCCGUUUUCCAGUCAACAGUUCACUUGCUUUCUAAUGCAUGUAAUAUUGCUGACUUUUCUUCAAGUGCUAUCUGGUUUGUGUGCAGUUUAUGGUUCAGUGUAUCAAUGCAAGUAGUUUAUGGCUCAGUAUAUCACUGCAAGUUCCUAACACCGUCAAAUUUUAGUGUUUUUGUAUUUUUUGUCGAUGCAAACAUGUUCUUCGACUAUAAGACAAUAGAGGUUUGUUUUCUUACCAGGUGUAAUAUUUUUUUGAUGCAUUGCAGAGUUUGCUAUCAAACUCUCAAGCAGCAAGAAGAUAGCCAACCUAAAUGAAUCAAAACAUGAACAAGUGUCGAGAAGUUAAGGAUGCCGAAGUGCAGCUGUUGGCUUCCUGCUAUGAUUCACUUAUCGGGAAGUGAAGUUUCUGUUUCUCCCGUCGUGCGAGAGCAUGUGCGUCUGCUGCCUGGCGCUACACCCGAGUUCGCGCCGCACCAUCAAGCAUUUAAAUGCGGCCUCCUCUCUUUCUACUUCUCAGGCCUGCGUGGGGCGCAAGGAGCAGUAGGGGCAGACGCGGGCGCCUCAAACGGCGGCUGCUCUUCUCUGGCUUGGACCAGAACCCAGCUGGGGCCUCUAGCUAUAGUCCUGGAAAAGAUGGUGUUUAGAGCUAUAUCUUGGAAAAUACUUCUUGGCAUUCCAUUAAAUUUCUGAGUUCUUGCUAGGAGGUUAGAAAUGGAGGAGCUGGACAUGGAAGGCGAGAAGGCGGUCAGACCGAGUUCGCCUACCCUACUGCUACAAGGACCACGAGGUCGCAUCCUUGUGCGCGCACGUAGAAGAGGAGCACCCACUGGUGUGGAGAUAUAGUUUGCACAAUGUUCUGGUCCGGCAAAGGAUUUUAGAUGUGCAAAAGAGUAGUAAUGUUUUUGGCAUGGUCUUGGGGUAGAAAAUAUUGAUCGUGAAACCUGGAGAUAGAAAAAGGAGCUUUUCACAUUUGUUGCUCUUGAAUCCUGACUAGCAAUUAUAGCACCCUCAGGCCUCACUAGCAAUUAUGUCACCGUAUUUGGUUGUAGGUUACUUGCCUUCUUCUUUCAACCCAUCUCUCUAAGAAUUAUAGUGCAGGUUUUGUGGGGCAGGUUAAAGAACCCAAUACAAUGCUCUUUGAGUCGAGUUUUUGUAUAUACCGAGGCAUGAUUCUUGUGUG